UACGUAGGGUGCGAGCGUUAAUCGGAAUUACUGGGCGUAAAGGGUGCGCAGGCGGUUCCGCAAGUCAGGCGUGAAAGCCCCGGGCUUAACCUGGGAAUGGCGCUUGAAACUACGGGACUAGAGUGUGGCAGAGGGAGGUGGAAUUCCACGUGUAGCGGUGAAAUGCGUAGAUAUGUGGAGGAACACCAAUGGCGAAGGCAGCCUCCUGGGUCAACACUGACGCUCAUGCACGAAAGCGUGGGGAGCAAACAGGAUUAGAUACCCUGGUAGUCCACGCCCUAAACGAUGAUGACUAGUUGUUGGAGGAGUUAAAUCCUUUAGUAACGCAGCUAACGCGAGAAGUCAUCCGCCUGGGGAGUACGGUCGCAAGAUUA
rnacentral:rRNA from 1 species